UACGGGGGGGGCAAGCGUUGUUCGGAAUUACUGGGCGUAAAGGGCUCGUAGGCGGCCAACUAAGUCAGACGUGAAAUCCCUCGGCUUAACCGGGGAACUGCGUCUGAUACUGCAAGUCUGGAGUACGGGAGAGGUGAGUGGAAUUCCGAGUGUAGAGGUGAAAUUCGUAGAUAUUCGGAGGAACACCAGAAGCGAAGGCGGCUCACUGGCCCGAUACUGACGCUGAGGCGCGAAAGCGUGGGGAGCAAACAGG
rnacentral:rRNA from 1 species